CGCUGCCUGGGCCGCCAUGGCGGGCCCCGGGAUGGCGGCGGGAGGGAUGGGGGCCCGCGCCCGCAGCGCCCUGUUGACGGGGCCGGGGGCUUCAUCGCUGCGAGCUCCCCGCCGGGAGGGGAUGCACGGAGGGCCCUCGAGGCCCUCGGUCGUGUGUAAAAGGGGAAGGAGGCAGGCCCAGGGCUGCUGCCGGGAGUGCCUUGUUGUGUGCGCUGUGCCUUGACUUCAUCUAAUCCAAUGGCAAAAUCCAAGCAGUAAGGACCUUCUGCAUGUAAUCUGCUUCUAGCCUUGCAAAGGUUGGUCUGUGUAUGGUCCUGGUUAAUCCCAGCACCUGGAAGCCUCUGCGGAAUCAGGACCUGGUGUGUUAUCUGGCAUGAAAUGCAAACAAAGGGUUGUAAUUAAAAGCACAUUAGGCAGAAGGUUCAUGUCGAAGCAGACAUGAAGAUAUAAUGGAACCUUAGCAAGUGAAUGAAUGCUCUA